AUUGAACGCUGGCGGCAGGCCUAACACAUGCAAGUCGAGCGAGCGGCGGACGGGUGAGUAAUGUCUGGGAAACUGCCUGAUGGCGGGGGAUAACUACUGGAAACGGUAGCUAAUACCGCAUACCAUCAGAUGUGCCCAGGUGGGAUUAGCUAGUCGGUGGGGUAACGGCUCACCUAGGCGACGAGCCCUAGCUGGCCUGAGAGGAUGACCAGCCACACUGGAACUGAGACACGGCCCAGAAUCCUACGGGAGGCAGCAGUGGGGAAUAUUGGACAAUGGGCGCAAGCCUGAUGCAGCCAUGCCGCGUGUGUGAAGAAGGCUUUCGGGUUGUAAAGCACUUUCAGCGGGGAGGCGUUACCCACAGAAGAAGCACCGGCUAACUCCGUGCCAGCAGCCGCGGUAAUUC
rnacentral:rRNA from 1 species